CAGACUUUGAUUCUGGCUCAAGACGAACGCUGGCGGCGUGCCUAAUACAUGCAAGUCGAGCGAGCUUGCCUAGAUGAUUUUAGUGCUUGCACUAAAUGAAACUAGAUACAAGCGAGCGGCGGACGGGUGAGUAACACGUGGGUAACCUGCCCAAGAGACUGGGAUAACACCUGGAAACAGAUGCUAAUACCGGAUAACAACACUAGACGCAUGUCUAGAGUUUGAAAGAUGGUUCUGCUAUCACUCUUGGAUGGACCUGCGGUGCAUUAGCUAGUUGGUAAGGUAACGGCUUACCAAGGCAAUGAUGCAUAGCCGAGUUGAGAGACUGAUCGGCCACAUUGGGACUGAGACACGGCCCAAACUCCUACGGGAGGCAGCAGUAGGGAAUCUUCCACAAUGGACGAAAGUCUGAUGGAGCAACGCCGCGUGAGUGAAGAAGGGUUUCGGCUCGUAAAACUCUGUUGGUAGUGAAGAAAGAUAGAGGUAGUAACUGGCCUUUAUUUGACGGUAAUUACUUAGAAAGUCACGGCUAACUACGUGCCAGCAGCCGCGGUAAUACGUAGGUGGCAAGCGUUGUCCGGAUUUAUUGGGCGUAAAGCGAGUGCAGGCGGUUCAAUAAGUCUGAUGUGAAAGCCUUCGGCUCAACCGGAGAAUUGCAUCAGAAACUGUUGAACUUGAGUGCAGAAGAGGAGAGUGGAACUCCAUGUGUAGCGGUGGAAUGCGUAGAUAUAUGGAAGAACACCAGUGGCGAAGGCGGCUCUCUGGUCUGCAACUGACGCUGAGGCUCGAAAGCAUGGGUAGCGAACAAGAUUAGAUACCCUGGUAGUCCAUGCCGUAAACGAUGAGUGCUAAGUGUUGGGAGGUUUCCGCCUCUCAGUGCUGCAGCUAACGCAUUAAGCACUCCGCCUGGGGAGUACGACCGCAAGGUUGCAACUCAAAUGAAUUGACGGA
rnacentral:rRNA from 1 species